UACAUCCGGCUGUGAACACAGCUCAGCAAGAUCCAGAAAUUGGAACUACAGGUGAUUUUAGCUAAAUGUUCAUUGCAAAACAUGGAAUUUGUUUGUGCUGUCAAAUUAAUAUUAUAGGGCACUAAAACUGCAUUGUUGAUGGACGGAAUCUUCUGCACAUUAGUUAAUAUCUUGAAUAUUUACAGUGCCUAAAAGGGAGCAUAAAUUACACUUACUGAAUUAGUAAAGGUGUACUGAAAGGUUCUUUAAAAUAGUUAAUUGUAACUUCAUUCUUCAGGUGUUCUCUUUGAUAUACAUUUUAAAAUGUUUUUUCUUUUUUUAUUUAACUUGCCAAGACGUUCCUAUUCCAACAGCACUUUCAGCUUUAACACAAAGUUUUAUGUAGAAUUAAAGCUUCCUUCUACUGGAAAAGCUGCUGAUACUUGUAAGGUCACCAACUAGAUACAGAGCCAGGAUCUUAGCGGGCAGGCGAUGGUCGAAUGGGACAGCUGUCUCUAACAUUCUUGCUGUGGGAUCUUCAGACUCUAAUCCUCUAAACUUUUACAUGCACAUGUAACUUUACCUUGUAGCACUAUUCAUGUGAGUGAAGUGUGUAAGUUGACAGGAUCAGGGUCUAAACUAGCAUUUUGUAUUACCUGUUUUAUAAAGGGAUUUCUGUUUGCCUUUAGAUGUCAAUCAAAACAAGCUGCAGUUGGAAGCCAGGUUUCCCAUUAUCUUGUUUUACCUGUGGAUGAUGAUCUAGGUGUCCAGUUAAGGAACUUGGUGUGCUGUGGGUUGUAUUAAAACAACGGGACAAAUCACUUGAGCCAGAACUUUUGGGGUUUUUUUUAAAGUGUUGUUUUAAUAACUGGAAGUUGUAGAUGUGCUAAGAUGGGAGGGAGGGAUGUGAUUCAAUAAUGGUUUGCAACUUUGUGUAGGCAACAACCAUUAUUGUAUCGCUUCAGAACUGUUUUGUUUUGUGUUUUUUAAACUCUGGGCUUGUGCGUCCUUGCUCAUUGUUCAGACUUGAACCAUAAAUACUGUAAAAAGUGGAGACUCUUGAUACUGUUCUGUUUUUGCACUUUUUCUUAAUCAUUUAUAUAUGUCGCUUACAUUUUGUACAGAUGUGGCUCUCAACUGCGAUUAUAACUUGAAGUAUUUAUAAGUUUCUUCUAUUCAUAAUAUUUUUUUAAGUGUUGUGUAUAUGACGGUUAAAAGGACAAUUAUCUGGUGAUGCUACUUUGAGUGAAGGGUUUCAUAAAAAAUUUCUCUUCAGUAUGUAGUGGUUUAAAAGAGCUGGGCAAGUUUUUCCUUUUAUCUGAGGUGUAUGUGGAUCUUUUUCUCAACUUUCAAAGUGGGGGAAAAACCCACAGGUUACUAGGUGGCCCUUUCCUCUGGGGAACAAUUCCCGUAUUUACUCAAAUACCACAUGUACAUUUUCCACCCCCCAGGAAAACAGCCCUCCAAAAUUGGGGUGUCUUAAGGGAUGGGGAGGGGGGAACCUGAUUUCCCCCCUUUAUUGGAAUAGAAACAUGGACAAAUGGAAGCAGGGAGACACUGCUGCAAGAUGGCUGCCCUGCUUCUUCCUCUACCAGCUGCAGGGAAGGAGGGGUAGAGCUCACCCUUCAGGGUCAGCUAGUGUGUUAACCCUCUCACAGCCAUGGCUGCCGGAGUCAGGAUCCGCUGCAGCCUGUGUUUAGCCAGGGCUGGAAAAAAAUAUGCAUCUUAUUUUGGGAAGGCAAAAUGAAGAAAAUGUAUCUCAUUUGGGGGGCAGGUGGUAUGUGAGAAAAUACAGUACCUUAAACUUUCAAGGGGUACUUUUGAUAACUUUCACAUGCAUGACUCCUCUAGCCAACCCAGAACACUGCCAACUGAUCUUGCAAAACCUUUUGAGGGAAAAGCAAAUCAAUUCUUUUAAAGCUGGCUGCUGCUAGUUGUGCAUGAAAUUCGAACAAUCAAAGGGACCAGGAAAACCCCCCCUUUUUUUUUAUUAACUAACCACAUACACUGGAUUAUAAAUACAGGAAAUGCUUCCCAUGUCAAUAGUAGCUUUUCAGAUUAUUUGGUCUUGGAGAGCUGUUCAGUCUAUUCUGUGGUUAAAAAAAAAAAAACAAAACUUACCUAUGUCAAAUAAUAGCUUUUCAGACCACUGCAAGGAAACUAUCAUUAAACAAGUGAAAGAAAAAGCUAGUUAUUUGCACUGAAAUCUUUCAGCAGAUCUUCAGAUUUUUAUUUUCCCCCUCCACAGGAAAUAUACUUACUGGCUUCUACUCUUUACCUCUGUCGUACUUUGUCGAUUCUUUUGUUGAUGUGGGGGAGGGGAUUGAUAUUUGCACUGUAUACAAGUUAAACUAAUCUUUCACAGAUGGAAUACAAAUGAACUGGUUCAAGAAGUCA